UUCAUUCAUUCCUUACAUGUCAAUAUAUAGAAUAGUUUUAGGAUAGCAAACGCGGAAAUAACGGAAUACAAAAUAAGGAAGAUCUAGAGAAUAUUGCUGCAAGAUUUAGGUGAGCCACUGAUAAGCAUUUCAUUCAUUCCUUACAUGUCAAUAUAUAGAAUAGUUUUAGGAUAGCAAACGCGGAAAUAACGGAAUACAAAAUAAGGAAGAUCUAGAGAAUAUUGCUGCAAGAUUUAGGUGAGCCACUGAUAAGCUGCCACCUCAUUUCCUCCUAUUUGAAUUUGUUGAUUUAUCAUGUGAUGACAUCUUCUAGAUACUUUGGCAUGUGGACUUCUCUCUUGGGCCUUC
rnacentral:lncRNA from 1 species